rnacentral:rRNA from 1 species
AUUGCACGCUGGCGGCAGGCCUAACACAUGCAAGUCGAACGAGUGGCGGACGGGUGAGUAAUGUCUGGGAAACUGCCUGAUGGAGGGGGCUAACUACUGGAAACGGUAGCUAAUACCGCACACCAUCAGAUGUGCCCAGAUGGGAUUAGCUAGUUGGUUGGGUAACGGCUCACCAAGGCCACGAUCCCUAGCUGGUCUGAGAGGAUGACAAGCCGAACUGGAACGGAGACCCGCUCCAGACUCCUACGGAAGGCAGCAGGGGGGAAUGUUGCACAAUGGGCGCAGGCGUGAUGAAGCCAGGCCGCGUGUAUGAAGCAGGCCUUCGGGUUGUAAAGUACUUUCAGCGGGGAGGCGUUACCCGCAGAAGAAGCACCGGCUAACUCCGUGCCAGCAGCCGCGGUAAUUC